GUGGGGAAUAUUGGGCAAUGGGCGAAAGCCUGACCCAGCAACGCCGCGUGAAGGAAGAAGGUUUUCGGAUCGUAAACUUCUAUCCUUGGUGAAGAUAAUGACGGUAGCCAAGAAGGAAGCCCCGGCUAACUACGUGCCAGCAGCCGCGGUAAUACGUAGGGGGCAAGCGUUGUCCGGAAUGAUUGGGCGUAAAGGGCGCGUAGGCGGCCCGGUAAGUCUGAAGUGAAAGUCCUGCUUUUAAGGUGGGAAUUGCUUUGGAUACUGUCGGGCUUGAGUGCAGGAGAGGUAAGCGGAAUUCCCGGUGUAGCGGUGAAAUGCGUAGAGAUCGGGAGGAACACCAGUGGCGAAGGCGGCUUACUGGACUGUAACUGACGCUGAGGCGCGAAAGUGUGGGGAGCAAACAGGAUUAGAUACCCUAGUAGUCC
rnacentral:rRNA from 1 species